UACAGUAGCAUGCCUACUAUACAGCAUGGGUCCAACACAGUACAGUAGCAUGUCUACUAUACAACAUGGGUCCAACACAUUACAGUAGCAUGUCUACUAUACAACAUGGGUCCAACACAUUACAGUAGCAUGUCUACUAUACAAAAGGUCCAACACAUUACAGUAGCAUGUCUACUAUACAACAUGGGUCCAACACAUUACAGUAGCAUGUCUACUAUACAACACACUGUAGGUCCAACACAUUACAGUAGCAUGUCUACUAUACAACAUGGGUCCAACACAUUACAGUAGCAUGUCUACUAUACAACAUGGGUCCAACACAUUACAGUAGCAUGUCUACUAUACAACAUGGUACAACACAUUACAGUAGCAUGUCUACUAUACAACACACUGUAGGUCCAACACAUUACAGUAGCAUGUCUACUAUACAACAUGGGUCCAACACAUUACAGUAGCAUGUCUACUAUAAAACACACUGUAGGUCCAACACAUUACAGUAGCAUGUCUACUAUACAACAUGGGUCCAACACAUUACAGUAGCAUGUCUACUAUACAACAUGGGUCCAACACAUUACAGUAGCAUGUCUACUAUACAACAUGGUACAACACAUUACAGUAGCAUGUCUACUAUACAACAUGGGUCCAACACAUUACAGUAGCAUGUCUACUAUACAACAUGGGUCCAACACAGUACAGUAGCAUGUCUACUAUACAACAUGGGUCCAACACAUUACAGUAGCAUGUCUACUAUACAACAUAGGUCCAACACAUUACAGUAGCAUGUCUACUAUACAACAUAGGUCCAACACAUUACAGUAGCAUGUCUACUAAACAACAUAGGUCCAACACAUUACAGUAGCAUGUCUGCUAUACAACAUGGUCCAACACAUUACAGUAGCAUGUCUACUAUACAACAUGGGUCCAACACAUUACAGUAGCAUGUCUACUAUACAACAUGGGUCCAACACAUUACAGUAGCAUGUCUACUAUACAGCAUAGGUCCAACACAUUACAGUAGCAUGUCUACAAUACAACAUGGGUCCAACACAUUACAGUAGCAUGUCUACUAUACAACACACUGUAGGUCCAACACAUUACAGUAGCAUGUCUACUAUACAACAUGGGUCCAACACAUUACAGUAGCAUGUCUACUAUACAACACACUGUAGGUCCAACACAUUUUACAGUAGUAUGUCUACUAUACAACAUGGGUCCAACACAUUACAGUUGCAUCUCUACUAUACAAAAGGUCCAACACAUUACAGUAGCAUGUCUACUAUACAACAUGGGUCCAACACAUUACAGUAGCACGUCUACUAUACAGCAUAGGUCCAGAACAUGGUCCUGGAAAAAAAAUGAUUACGCGCGCACAAUUUAUCCAAACUAUACAAACGAGGUAUCAAAUUAAUCAUUAUAAAAUGAAGAAUCUACCUAUGUUUGUUAUUUAUUGCUUUAAA